UUUAAGAGGGUUUUAACCAAUUUUUCAGUCUCAUAUUCGCACUUGACAUAUUUUGGAUUAAAUAAAAUAUGUACACGUGUGGAUAUGGGGCCGAAGUUGGUACAGUCAACGG